UCAGUGCAAUGGCGAGGCGUGCACGAUAACGGCAUGCGAAGCGAAAGAAGCUUCGCAGCAACGGCCGCGAGUACAAUACGCAAUACAGAAGGUCAAGAGCUACGCCUGGCUGGUGCCCCUAGUUCACACGGAGUUCUGGAUGUCUGCAGGCUUUUCGCUGAUACAACCUUUCUUUCCUGAUGUGGCAAUUUCAAGAGGAUUGUCGUCAUGGAAGUACAGCUUCGUCUUCUCUGCUUACAAGUUUGGAAUGUUGCUUGGCUCAAUUCUCGCGGAACGAAUACUGAAAACAUGGCCUCCUACAUCUUGUUAUCUUCUCGGUCAAGGCGGCUUCUUCAUAUUUCU
rnacentral:lncRNA from 1 species